AUACGGAGGAUGCGAGCGUUAUCCGGAUUUAUUGGGUUUAAAGGGAGCGCAGACGGGUCGUUAAGUCAGCUGUGAAAGUUUGGGGCUCAACCUUAAAAUUGCAGUUGAUACUGGCGUCCUUGAGUGCGGUUGAGGUGUGCGGAAUUCGUGGUGUAGCGAUGAAAUGCUUAGAUAUCACGAAGAACUCCGAUUGCGAAGGCAGCACACUAAGCCGUAACUGACGUUCAUGCUCGAAAGUGUGGGUAUCAAACAGGAUUAGAUACCCUGGUAGUCCACACGGUAAACGAUGGAUACUCGCUGUUGGCGAUAUACGGUCAGCGGCUUAGCGAAAGCGUUAAGUAUCCCACCUGGGGAGUACGCCGGCAACGGUGAAACUCAAAGGAAUUGACGGGGGCCCGCACAAGCGGAGGAGCAUGUGGUUUAAUUCGAUGAUACGCGAGGAACCUUACCCGGGCUUAAAUUGCAAAGGAAUAAUCUGGAAACAGGUUAGUCUUCGGACCUUUGUGAAGGUGCUGCAUGGUUGUCGUCAGCUCGUGCCGUGAGGUGUCGGCUUAAGUGCCAUAACGAGCGCAACCCUCGCCGCCAGUUACUAACAGGUAAUGCUGAGGACUCUGGCGGGACUGCCAUCGUAAGAUGUGAGGAAGGUGGGGAUGACGUCAAAUCAGCACGGCCCUUACGUCCGGGGCUACACACGUGUUACAAUGGGCGGUACAGAAGGCAGCUACCUGGCGACAGGAUGCCAAUCCCUAAAGCCGCUCUCAGUUCGGACUGGAGUCUGCAACCCGACUCCACGAAGCUGGAUUCGCUAGUAAUCGCGCAUCAGCCACGGCGCGGUGAAUACGUUCCCGGGCCUUGUACACACCGCCCGUCAAGCCAUGAAAGCCGGGGGUACCUGAAGUGCGUAACCGCAAGGAGCGCCCUAGGGUAAAACCGGUAAUUGGGGCU
rnacentral:rRNA from 1 species